GAAGUCUGAUAUCCGCAAACUUUUUUACUAUGAAAGUUGAUAUAUAAUUUUAUCAUCUGUUUUGUCAUAAUAUGCCGAAACUUUAUCACUCGAGUUCCACAUCCAGUAUAGUUCUAGUAAAAUUUGAAGCGUGAAAUAUCAAAGUAUCGAAGUCUAACUUUGUCCGUUCAAUGUAUCAAAUUUCACGUGUAAAAUUACAUUUCGCAAUAGGCAGAUAUCAGAAUUAAAACAAGGUUUGAUGUUUCUUUGCCUUUCUAAAGGCGUGUUUUAGUGAAGGAAUCGCCUGAAGAUAUUUCUAUUAAUAUUUCACUUGAAUUCACUAUUGAAGUAAAUAUUAUUUGCAUUGAAUCUUAAUCUGUUUGGUAAUAAAUAUAUUCUUUAUUAAUUUCUUUCAUCAAAGUUUAGUAGUUUAGUAAUGUAGUCACUUAAUAAAGUAAAGUAGAGUAUAAAGUAAAUUGAUUAAAAUUUGAAAUGAAAUAAGAGUAGAGAAUCAAAGAAAAUAUUAUUUAGCCUGUUAGAUACAAAGUAGAAUAGAUACGUUAAUCAUAUUUUAGUUUAAACCUCCUCAUGUUCAUUACAAGGACCUUAUUCACGUGCUACUUGGAUGACAAUAGGCAUGAUGACUAGUUUAUAAGCUUAAACAGUUCCUCAACGACUGAAUUGUAACUGUUCGAUUAGGGUUGCGAACCUUGAACGAUAUUAACGCCCAAGAUACAAGGAGAUCAAAGAUUUCUAGUAUGCUUAUGAUUUGUAUGUUUAUUUAUUUAGUAUUUAGUAUGAAAGUUUAGUUUAAACGUAAGCUAGAGUCUUUAAACGUAAGCGUGAGCGUGUUGAACCUUCGGUCCUUUCUCGAAGCGCCUGGUGCUUAUAUUUUAGACGUCGGUUUAAGAAGUCGGUUUUUUGUUAACGUUUCCUGUUUAAGGACAAUCUGUGUCUGUCCGAUCCUGUGACUAUCAAACUGUCAUGGGCGUCUCGCAAGUUGCGCGCUUUGUUCGUAUCUGGUCGAAGAUGCGUGGCGUAACGUCCCGUUAGGGACAUUAUCCGAUGAUCUGUUGUCGAGUUCUCGUAAGGUGUCGAAGUUUAUGCUACGUCGUUUGCUACUGAGCGAACCCGUCGGCGCUUAAGAUAACAACUAAGUUAUCAACGUGGUCCGAGUUGUGGACUUUAUAAUGUACAAUGUGGCAAAUUUCACCUUCUCCAAAAUAGCAGUUGUGCUAUCCGUAUCGUAAACUAAAUAUAAUCUUACAUCCCCAACAUACAGGAUAAUAUAUUUUAGGGACCUUUGUUGUCUUUAUUUUCUGUCAUGCAAAGUUUAGUUUAGAAUAGAUUAAUUUCUCAUUAAUCUUACGAUGAAUAGUCAUAUGUUUGCCGGAUAUACAUCAGCGAAUUAUACAAUCGCAUAACAUGGCCGUUAUUUUACGUAUAUGACGUUUAUGACGUUAAUUUUAUAGCACUGCAAUUUGCAGUAUCAUGAUAUUUUAUAGCUUUUCGUUAAUAUACAAGGUGUUGAGUGAAAUGAUGGUGGUCUACGUUAUCCUCUUUAACCGAAAUUCCGUAUUAUCCGUGAUUCUUUGAACUUUAUCAUAAUCUUAUCUCCUUUCGAAACUUUAACACGAAGACUACAAAGGGAUAAAAUAGUCAGACGUCCGCCUAGUGCCACAUAAGAAUUUGGCAGAAACUAUUGGUCGACGUUCUGGAUAGUUCAAUUGGGAAAGCAAGCAGGACGAUGAUGGUUCGAUCUAUGAAUGCUAAUCCAUUUUUCCGUAUUUCCCGAGUUUUCUACUAUCCGAGCAUCGUGACUGAUGUUGAGGUAUCCAAUGACCUAUGACCGUCAGAUGUAUAUUCAUAGCUUUCAUCUGUUCAUACACGGGGAACGUCACCAGGAAUGUCUAAUGCGCAAAAUUUACUUUAAAUCCAUACAGUCGCGUGCAAGGGGUCGAUGACAAAGCAACAACAGUUUUCUUAGAGUCUAAUUUAGAAGGAUUUUCCAGAUUAGAAGCCACGAAGUAGGAAGCGAGGAAUCGGGAAGAUGAUCAAUUCUGACUUAUCUUUUAAAAAUCAAUCGUGUAACGUAUGUAAAGCAGAAUUGAUUUAUGAAUAUUAUAAUUCAACAUUUUAAACGUGCUAGACCUGUCAAGGGCAAUAUGUUCGACUAAUUUUUUGUUCAGUGUGUAAACACGCGAAUAUUGCGACUUUUAUUGAAAUGAGAAUAAUAUACAAAAUAAAGUCAUAUCGAGUCGAGAAAAAUAGAUAAUAUGAAAAUAAUUUAUGGUUUUAAUUAAUGUUUUCAAGUCUCGUACAAUUUGUCCAGCUGUACAUUCUGUAAAUAAUAUAACCAAGUGCCAUAUUGUCCUCCACUUUUUCCUGCUUAUUAUGGGUAUUCUAUGUUAUUAUGUGGUGAAUACACAAUGCAGCGAUAUUAUGUUUCGUUUUUAAAAAUUGAUAACCUAUGCUCUUGAAUAUUGCAAUGAAUGUUCAAGUUGGUUUCAAAUAACGAGCAUUGUUGCAAAUGACGAGCAUAUUCCUAUGUUCAUAUUCUUCAUAUGUUGCACACACGUUACACGAUUAAAGUAAAAGUAUCUUUCAAAUUAGAUAAAGUUUUACGACACAGGUAUAGUUUAGUACCUUCCUAUAGAAAGUAAACGAUAUCUGAUUUAUAGCAGUAUUAAAUCUCAUACACCAUCGUGUAUGAGAUUUAAUACUGCUAUAAAUCAGAUAUCUGUGACUUUUAAAACUUGAAAAAAAAGAUAAAAGAGGAAAAACGAGAAUCAGUAUAUUUGCUAUUUCGAAUAAACCAAGCUUUUUCCGACGUAAUCAUUGUAUAGGUGAAAAGAACUAAAAUGUUUUGAUAGAUAAAAGUAUCUGUAAUCUGUAACUAUGUGUCUAGAAUUACAGAACACUACGACAAAACGUUGCAUUAGUAAAUAGAUGUCUGUGUAUAUUCAGCCACUAAAUAUCAUAGCGAUUGUUUUGGAUAUUUUAUCAUUAGACUGAGGAUUUUUGUGCAAAUUCAUAUUUUUAUGAACCUAAUUAAACAAAUGAAAAGUAGACAUUUCACGGUAAACAUUGUUUGCAAAUUGUUUUAAAUGUGGCAAAAUAACACGGCAACGGUGUCAUCCAGUAUCCAUUGAGACAAGGUCUAAAAGUAUAAAGGUCAGAAAGUAAUUUAUAAGCCAAUGAAUAUUACAAUAAGCACUGUGCUUCGAAUAUCUUUUACACUUUUACAUAUUAUUUGCAUAAUGCGUAUUUUCGCAUUUCACGAUAAUCUACAAAUAUAGAAACUUCUGCAGUCUGCACAUAUAGAUGAUACUGCGUUAUCGGUCAAUGAAUGUUUGUCAACGAAAAAUGAUCGGAGAUACAAGCCAAUUCUCUUAUCGAGUAGGUUUCUUUCCCUUACUUUUCUUGCCGGUUUAUUCUUCUGCGGCGUCGUCUUACCGUAUAAUAUUAAAUAUCACUUCCGACGAUUGAAACACAUACUUCGAUCAUUCUAACGUUUCGAUAUCGAGCAGACACAUUUUGAAUCAGAUGAUUCUUCAUGGUCGAUCGAUCUGCAAUUAUGGUACUGCGAUUCAUACUGAUUAAUAUGGAUGAUGGCUUUCGUCGAUAUCUAAUGUUAUAACUAUAUAAUACAUAUUAUAUAUAUUGUUCGUAUAUAUCAGAUUCGUUUCAAAUUUUACCAAUAUAAUUAUUACAUUAUUAUUAUUAUUAUUAUAUAUACAAUAUACAAUAUAUAUAUAUAUUGAACCAGAACUUGUGAGAAGUACGAAUUCAACACAAUAAAAAAGAAGAAAAAGUUUAUAUAAACGUAUGACAUAACCUUGUUUUCGAGUUACAGCAUAUUCUGUGAUACUAUACGUUACAUAAGUGAAGAAUUUCGUAAGAAACGGAUGGAUCAUGCUGUUUUCAAGCUUAAUGUCAACUCGCUUAAUAGAUCUGAAUCCAUUCAAUUACGGGUUAUAGAGUUAUUUAAUGUUUAUUGUUUACAAAACGUCAGCUGAUCAAACAUCGGCGAUCAAAGUAACCAACCAGUGUAAGCUGUUCGAAGAAUUUCACGAUCUAUAAUACGAUACAUUCGCGCUUCUGUCGAAGCUAAACCUGUUCCUUUAAGAAUAAAUGAGAAACUAUUGCAACAAAAAGUAUACUUAUUUACAUCUUUGCUACAUUUUUGCGUCAUUUACGCAAAGAUUGUAAAAUAUUUAUUAGAAACAUUGCAUGCGAAUAGCUAAUUACUGACUUUAUAUUCAAGUUGCAAUGCAUAUUAAAGUCAGUCAAGAGAUGUAUACAUUUAUUGACCCACAUAUUGAAAAGUUCAAGAUCACUGUUAAUUUAUUCUAAUUUCUCGCUAAGCGUACGUUUAUAAUAAACAUAAUGCAUAUGCACAAAUGCAAAGAAAUAGAGUGUUGUAAUUUUUAUAUACAUUUUGGAAGUGAACGCAAAUUUCAUUAUUAGAAUUACCAGUGUUUCAAGAAGUUUCCUCUGACAUAUACAAUAUAUUCUUAUAAAUUUCUCGCGAUAAGCGUAUUUGUACGUAACAUAUAUGAAUCUUAUACGCAAUUGUAAGAGUUUGAAAAAGAAAUAAGAAAAAAGUAACAAUAUUUACAUGUUACAGUUUUUCUAAUUAAAAA